AAAUUGAAGAGUUUGAUCAUGGCUCAGAUUGAACGCUGGCGGCAGGCCUAACACAUGCAAGUCGAACGGUAACAGGAAGCAGCUUGCUGCUUCGCUGACGAGUGGCGGACGGGUGAGUAAUGUCUGGGAAACUGCCUGAUGGAGGGGGAUAACUACUGGAAACGGUGGCUAAUACCGCAUAACGUCGCAAGACCAAAGAGGGGGACCUUCGGGCCUCUUGCCAUCAGAUGUGCCCAGAUGGGAUUAGCUUGUUGGUGAGGUAACGGCUCACCAAGGCGACGAUCCCUAGCUGGUCUGAGAGGAUGACCAGCCACACUGGAACUGAGACACGGUCCAGACUCCUACGGGAGGCAGCAGUGGGGAAUAUUGCACAAUGGGCGCAAGCCUGAUGCAGCCAUGCCGCGUGUAUGAAGAAGGCCUUCGGGUUGUAAAGUACUUUCAGCGGGGAGGAAGGUGUUGUGGUUAAUAACCGCAGCAAUUGACGUUACCCGCAGAAGAAGCACCGGCUAACUCCGUGCCAGCAGCCGCGGUAAUACGGAGGGUGCAAGCGUUAAUCGGAAUUACUGGGCGUAAAGCGCACGCAGGCGGUCUGUCAAGUCGGAUGUGAAAUCCCCGGGCUCAACCUGGGAACUGCAUUCGAAACUGGCAGGCUUGAGUCUUGUAGAGGGGGGUAGAAUUCCAGGUGUAGCGGUGAAAUGCGUAGAGAUCUGGAGGAAUACCGGUGGCGAAGGCGGCCCCCUGGACAAAGACUGACGCUCAGGUGCGAAAGCGUGGGGAGCAAACAGGAUUAGAUACCCUGGUAGUCCACGCCGUAAACGAUGUCUACUUGGAGGUUGUGCCCUUGAGGCGUGGCUUCCGGAGCUAACGCGUUAAGUAGACCGCCUGGGGAGUACGGCCGCAAGGUUAAAACUCAAAUGAAUUGACGGGGGCCCGCACAAGCGGUGGAGCAUGUGGUUUAAUUCGAUGCAACGCGAAGAACCUUACCUGGUCUUGACAUCCACAGAAGAAUCCAGAGAUGGAUUUGUGCCUUCGGGAACUGUGAGACAGGUGCUGCAUGGCUGUCGUCAGCUCGUGUUGUGAAAUGUUGGGUUAAGUCCCGCAACGAGCGCAACCCUUAUCCUUUGUUGCCAGCGAU
rnacentral:rRNA from 1 species